AACUACGGCCCGCGGGCCAAAUGCGGCCCGAUAUCCAUUUUUAAUUGGCCCGCAGCGUGCAAAAAUCCCCCCCCCCUAAAAGUCUUUCAGCAUCCAGAAAUUUUUUUUUCCUACCACACGGCGUCAUUGGGGGGCGGAACCUACAGUGCUUCAGUGUAGACUCUGAGAACUUGUCCUAAACUCCGCCCUCCCCUCCCCGUGACUGAAGUUUAGUGAAGUGCGGGGAGGAAGGGGGGCGGUAAACAACUGAAAGCAUGGCUCCAUUCCCCUUCUACACUGCUGCCUAACCUGGGCUGGAUUUCGUGCAUCUGAUCUCUGGGGUUUAGGCAGCAACAGACCUAUGAAGAGAACCACAUGGAUAGUGAUGCCCUUGGUAGGCUCUGGCAUAACAGGAUCCUGAUAAUCGUGAGAGAGAUCACCCAGAGAGAGAUUCCUGGAUAUGGAUUCCAGUGAAAGAAGCUUGGGAGAACUCACACUCUGGAUGGAGUUAGCCUGAAGAUUUCUGUGAGAUGCUGUGGAUACCUGUACCAGUUCUGUGUGAGCCCUCAGUAAGUUUUGAUCUGAAGAAAAGGAAUUGAAAGGUUUCAACAUGUGUCCCCUGUGUGAGGACAGGUUGUGCUUGAUAACCUACAUGGGAGCUACUGCCUCUAACCAAAGGAGAGGUAUAGGGGGCAGGUAAUGCUACCUGGGGUAAAGAGCUCUUGGGCCUGUGUUUCCACCAGGAGUAGAGUGUGGAACUUUGCCUUGUGAAAGACUGUGCCAAGGGUUGGGCUUACCGCAUGGGUACCCCGGGUAGGGUUGCCACCUGUCUGGAUAUCACCCAGACAGCCUGAUAUUUGAAAGGGCUGUGAAUCCUUCCUUUCUGGAUUAGGAAAUCUGGAUAAGACAUUGAAAAUCGUCACAUCAUCAGUCCCGCCCCUGAUGCCACUGGCCCCGCCCCUAAUGUCAUCUGCCCCACCCCAACAUCAUCGGUCCCACUCCCACCUGCCUCUGACAUCAUCCAGCCUGCAUCCCUUCCCAUUUUCCGGCCCCAGAAAAUGUGGUAACCCUAACCCCAGGGCAGGGUUGAUAUUGUUAUUGCAAUUUUCCUUUCUUUAUUUCUAUAUAAAGUUAUGUUUUGUUUGCCAUGCU